rnacentral:rRNA from 1 species
GUUAGGAAUAUUGGACAAUGGGCGCAAGCCUGAUCCAGCCAUGCCGCGUGAGUGAUGAAGGCCUUCGGGUUGUAAAGCUCUUUAGUCCACGAAUAUAAUGACUGUAGUGGAAGAAUAAGCCCCGGCUAACUUCGUGCCAGCAGCCGCGGUAAUACGAAGGGGGCGAGCGUUAUUCGGAAUCACUGGGCGUAAAGCGUGCGUAGGCUGUUUUGUAAGUCAGAAGUGAAAGCCCAGGGCUUAACCCUGGAAUUGCUUUUGAAACUACAAGACUCGAAUUCGGGAGAGGAUAGCGGAAUUGUCAGUGUAGCAGUGAAAUGCGUAGAUAUUGACAGGAACACCAGUGGCGCAAGCGGCUAUCUGGACCGAUAUUGACGCUGAGGCACGAAAGCGUGGGGAGCAAACAGGAUUAGAUACCCGAGUAGUCC